GAUGAACGCUGGCGGCGUGCUUAACACAUGCAAGUCGAACGGAAGGGCCCUGCUUGCAGGGUACUCGAGUGGCGAACGGGUGAGUAACACGUGGGUGAUCUGCCCUGCACUUCGGGAUAAGCCUGGGAAACUGGGUCUAAUACCGGAUAGGAGCCAUUUUUAGUGUGAUGGUUGGAAAGUUUUUUCGGUGUAGGAUGAGCUCGCGGCCUAUCAGCUUGUUGGUGGGGUAAUGGCCUACCAAGGCGGCGACGGGUAGCCGGCCUGAGAGGGUGGACGGCCACAUUGGGACUGAGAUACGGCCCAGACUCCUACGGGAGGCAGCAGGGGGGAAUAUUGCACAAUGGGCGCAAGCCUGAUGCAGCGACGCCGCGUGGGGGAUGACGGCCUUCGGGUUGUAAACUCCUUUCGCUAGGGACGAAGCUUUUUGUGACGGUACCUAGAGAAGAAGCACCGGCUAACUACGUG
rnacentral:rRNA from 1 species